AUUGAACGCUGGCGGCAGGCCUAACACAUGCAAGUCGAACGGUAACAGGAAGCAGCUUGCUGCUUUGCUGACGAGUGGCGGACGGGUGAGUAAUGUCUGGGAAACUGCCUGAUGGAGGGGGAUAACUACUGGAAACGGUAGCUAAUACCGCAUAACGUCGCAAGACCAAAGAGGGGGACCUUAGGGCCUCUUGCCAUCGGAUGUGCCCAGAUGGGAUUAGCUAGUAGGUGGGGUAACGGCUCACCUAGGCGACGAUCCCUAGCUGGUCUGAGAGGAUGACCAGCCACACUGGAACUGAGACACGGUCCAGACUCCUACGGGAGGCAGCAGUGGGGAAUAUUGCACAAUGGGCGCAAGCCUGAUGCAGCCAUGCCGCGUGCAUGAAGAAGGCCUUCGGGUUGUAAAGUACUUUCAGCGGGGAGGAAGGGAGUAAAGUUAAUACCUUUGCUCAUUGACGUUACCCGCAGAAGAAGCACCGGCUAACUCCGUG
rnacentral:rRNA from 1 species